rnacentral:rRNA from 1 species
AACGAACGCUGGCGGCGCGCCUAAUACAUGCAAGUCGAGCGAGAAGACGUAGCAAUACGUUUGUAAAGCGGCGAACGGGUGAGGAAUACAUGGGUAACCUACCCUCGAGUGGGGAAUAACUAGCCGAAAGGUUAGCUAAUACCGCGUACGCUCCUUGGACUUCGGUUCAGGGAGGAAAGCGAUACCGUGGGUAUCGCGCUCUUGGAUGGGCUCAUGUCCUAUCAGCUUGUUGGUGAGGUAACGGCUCACCAAGGCUUCGACGGGUAGCUGGUCUGAGAGGACGAUCAGCCACACUGGCACUGCGACACGGGCCAGACUCCUACGGGAGGCAGCAGUAAGGAAUAUUGCGCAAUGGGCGAAAGCCUGACGCAGCG